CAAUAGCGUAUAUUAAAGUUGUUGCAGUUAAAAAGCUCGUAGUUGGAUUUCGGGGCAGCCUGGCUGGUACGCCGCAAGGCGAGUACUGGUCAGCCGACCUUCCUCUCGAAAGCCCCGACUGCUCUUCGUUGCAGUGGUCGGGUAGUUCGGGACGUUUACUUUGAAAAAAUUAGAGUGUUCAAGGCAGGCCUACGCCUGAAUACAUUAGCAUGGAAUAAUGGAAGAGGACCUCGGUCCUAUUUUGUUGGUUUCCAGGGCCGAAGUAAUGAUUAAGAGGGACAGUUGGGGGCAUUCGUAUUUAAUUGUCAGAGGUGAAAUUCUCGGAUUUAUGAAAGACGAACAACUGCGAAAGCAUUUGCCAAGGAUGUUUUCAUUAA
rnacentral:rRNA from 1 species